CCGUUCCGAAAUUCUUGCUUUCACAUUUCAAUGAUUUUUAUUCUUUCCAAUGUUGCACAUUUGACAAUAAAGUUGAUUGAAUCUUCAUCCCGGUAAUACGUCCUGUUGUGUCGCUCAAGAUACAUAGAAAUAGAUAAUCUGGGUUUGUUUUUAUCUUAUGGACUGAAACUUAUGAUCUGACAUGCGUGCGAAUAUCGUAUCAUAAAACAUUUAUUUUAAAAAAGACUUACUAUGCACAGAAUUGAAUCUUCGUUUAGUUUUCUGGCGUAAUAUUGUUGACGAGUGACGAUAAUAAAAGUGCUGAUGGAAUUUUAGCUUUACUUACAGCACCUAGUACCGACUUUUGAGGUCUGAUACACUUGUGAUAUCGUAUUUUUAUUGCUGGUAAAGUGGAUUGGAGGUUUGACAGAAAAUUGCAGUUUAGUAUUGAAUAGUAAUAGGUUUAUUGCUUAAAAGUAUAAAGAUGAAAUAGAUUGCUAGAAGUGUCUUUUUUUCUGAUGUUUGACCCCCUAUUCCUUUAAACGGGUUCACCUGUGCCUUCCUCGAGCGAGGACUACCCCUUACUAAUUACCAGCAGAUCGAUAAUCAUCGAUGAGGGCCGUGCACGAGGCUUUUCGGAGCAGUCCAGGCUCGUCGACGA